UCACCUCUGGUCUUGUGGUAAAGCGUCUGCCUGCUACGUGGGAGACCCGGGUUCAAUCCCCGGGCCGUUCC
rnacentral:tRNA from 1 species